UAGUCCACGCCGUAAACGAUCAUCACUCGCUGUUGGCGAUAUACUGUCAGCGGCCAAGCGAAAGUAUUAAGUGAUGCACCUGGGGAGUACGCCGGCAACGGUGAAACUCAAAGGAAUUGACGGGGGCCCGCACAAGCGGUGGAGCAUGUGGUUUAAUUCGAUGAUACGCGAGGAACCUUACCAGGGCUUAAAUGUAGUAUGACCGGUCUGGAAACAGGCCUUCUCUUCGGAGCAGAUUACAAGGUGCUGCAUGGUUGUCGUCAGCUCGUGCCGUGAGGUGUUAGGUUAAGUCCUGCAACGAGCGCAACCCCUAUUCUUAGUUGCCAGCGGUUCGGCCGGGGACUCUGAAAGAACUGCCAGUGAUAAGCUGGAGGAAGGUGGGGAUGACGUCAAGUCCUCAUGGGGCCCUUACGUGUUGGGGCUACACACGUGCUACAAUGGGUAUCUACAACAGGAAGCAAGACGGCGACGUUAAGCAAAUCCCUAAAAGAUACCUCAGUUCGGGAUUGC
rnacentral:rRNA from 1 species